UGGUGCAUACGUAUCAGUAUAAAUAAAAAUUUAAUAAAUAAUAUUUUAAGUUUGUUACUAUGAUCUGUCAAGAUCUAAGAUCUAAGUAAUCACUAGUCCUCUUAGACUGGUGUAUGGACUUCUAUAUUUGCAGCUGUCUUGGUGCACAAUCCAGCUGCCACAACAUGUGAUCAAUUCAAUAAAAUUAAUUAAAUUAAUUUAAGCAUAGAAGUUUUACCAAUCUAUCAGCCACAAUAUGUGUGCCAAUGGAGUUGUCAAUGUG
rnacentral:lncRNA from 1 species